AUCAACUUUCGAUGGUAGGAUAGAGGCCUACCAUGGUGGUAACGGGUAACGGGGUGUUAGGGCACGACACCGGAGAGGGAGCCUGAGAAACGGCUACCACAUCCAAGGAUGGCAGCAGGCGCGCAAAUUACCCAAUCCCGACACGGGGAGGUAGUGACAAUAAAUAACAAUACGGGGUUCUUUCGGAUCUCGUAAUUGGAAUGAGUACAAUUUAAAUCUCUUAACGAGGAACAAUUGGAGGGCAAGUCUGGUGCCAGCAGCCGCGGUAAUUCCAGCUCCAAUAGCGUAUAUUAAAGUUGUUGCAGUUAAAAAGCUCGUAGUUGAAUUUCGGGAUCAGUUGGUCGGUCGUGCCUCGGUACGUACUGGUCAAAUUGAUUCCUACCUUCCGACGAACCACGAUGUCAUUAAUUUGGUGUCGUGGGAAAUCAGGACUGUUACUCUGAAAAAAUUAGAGUGUUUAAAGCAGGCUCGCGCUUGAAUACAUUAGCAUGGAAUAAUGAAAUAGGACGUUUGAUUCUAUUUUGUUGGUUUCUAGGAUCGACGUAAUGAUUAAUAGGGAUAGUUGGGGGCAUUAGUAUUCAAUUGUCAGAGGUGAAAUUCUUGGAUUUAUUGAAGACUAACUACUGCGAAAGCAUUUGCCAAGGAUGUUUUCAUUAAUCAAGAACGAAAGUUAGGGGAUCGAAGACGAUCAGACACCGUCGUAGUCUUAACCAUAAACUAUGCCGACUAGGGAUCGGAUGAUGUUAAUUUUUUAAUGACUCAUUCGGCGCCUUACGGGAAACCAAAGUGUUUGGGUUC
rnacentral:rRNA from 1 species